GUUGGAUACACCCAACCUCUGCUA
rnacentral:tRNA from 1 species